CCUCCUCCUCCACCCGCGAAGACAUCACCCCACGCGCGAAUACUUCGCUUCUCCAGUUCUCCUCCUCCUCGCUCGCUUGCUCCUCCUCCCCGCAUGUUCUACCGCCGCGCCGCUGCAUCCUCUCUGGAGAUCUUCCCCGCGUGGACUGCCGCCGCCAGAGCCUCUGAUUCUUCCCCGUCGCCGGAGCCAGUGCUUCUUCCCCGCGUGGAUUGUCGCCGCAUCCCCGCCGCCGGCGCCGCUGAUUCUUCCCCAUCGCCGGAGCCGGUGUUUCUUCCCCGCGUAGACUGUCGCCGCAUCCCCGCUGCCGGAGCCGCUGCUUCUUCCCUGCCGCCGGAGCCGCCGUGGCCGGUUCCGACCUCAACUCCAUCCGCCGGCGCCGGCGCCUAGAUCCACUGCCGCGGCCGAAGCCGACUUUCCACCGCUUCCUUGAGACGUUCAACGAGAGAGACGACUGCCGGUGCGACACUUCAACAUUAUGCUCUACCACAACGCUACAGAGUACAGACCAGGUCUUCCAAAUUACACAUAGUUCAUUAUGCUUGGGACAGAAUAAUACAAUAGUUGAUAUAAAUGUGCAGAAAAAACUGAAAGAAAUUUCAGAUUGCUUAAUAUUUUGAUGUGAGUUUAUCACGGGUGCAUAUUGGAGUGACUGAACAAUGAUUCUCAUUGGUAAUCAUUUUCUCCUACCUUCUACUUCCUUCAGUUUCUCAUAUUCCUUUUUUACGAAUUAUAUACCUCCGUAUUUAAACAGCUUUUUAUAUAUUUGUUUUCUAUAAAUAUUAAAUGAUAAUUACUCAUUUUUCAUUUUUUUUCGUGGUGGUACACUAUGAGAAUUUUCCGAAAUACUAUGUCCUGCCACAUGGUUGCUGAAUACAUUCAAGGGCAUUGCACUGUCCAUUCCAUUCAGUACUGGGCAUAUGCAUUACAUUAGGCACACACAGGAGAAACAUGCCAUAGAUUAAGUCAUAGAGUUCUGCCUUCAAAUUUGGAAAGAAAAAGAUAUUCAGAGUGGCUUCAGCCUUCAGGUAAUGUUACGCAAGCGGACAAUAAUGUUGUUAUUAAUUUGAUAUAUUUUUAAGUGCUAUAGAAAUCGAUGAAACUAAUUCAGGUUUUGUAGACAGCUUGGUGAUCAAGGCCUACCAAUAUUUAAUGAGUUAUGUCCCUUGAUUGAUACACUAAAGCUUAUUCUCAUAGGCAAUUUUGAUCUAGCAAAAUAUGUGUGCAAUGGGUGCAAGUAAUAGAAGCUGCAAGGCAUAUUAUGAACAAUCAAAUUGUUUCUGAACUGAAGUAGCAGGUUUAAUUUUGGUCAGGUAUUUAAUACAGACCAAAUUUAUAGUGGUAAGAAGUAACGAGAAAUGCCCGUGCGUUGCACCGGGUAUUGGUGGGGUGGCUGAAGUUUGAUAUUAACGACUUAUCAAAAGCACACGAGAUGAUUAUAAGUACAAUGAUAAAAAGGUCAUGUUUGUUUUUGAUAAUUAAUUUACUCUAUAUUUGGACGACUUAGAUGACGCUUCUGACGUGUGUGGGCUUGAUGGUCAUGGCAAGGGAGGAAUGAGUGGCGAACAAUUAAUGUGUCUCCUUUUGCAUAUAGGGCGACAUAUGGAAAUUUAUGUGAUGAAAAAUGAAUGGAAUUGACCUAAAGGCACCUCCCCAGAUUUAUAUUUCCCCAUAUUUAUAUUUGUAGUUUAAUUAAACUUUCUUCAGCAUUUAUUUAAUAGAGUUGUAACCGAACCAAGGGAUUUCUUGAGAUUCUUAAGUUAUCAAUGGUGAGAUUCUGUCAGGUGACUUCUAACCUUGAAUUUGUUUCAGAAGUCACCAGAUUGUUUAACACGCUAGAUGCUAUCUCACUGCAAGAUCCUGCCUUUUUUUUUAUCUGAAGUUAUACUGAGCUGCUACCUCCUCAGGCUUCAUUCUGUCCCCGUCCGCACCUUCCUCGAUGAUGAUAACCCUACCGCAAGGGUGACAUGAGAAUUAGUUUAUCACCCCGGUCGAAGGUAGCUAACUGCGUGGAAAUUGGUCUUCCGUCACUCAUUCGCAAAAAUAAAAGAGAAGCGUCUCCAUUGCUUCUGAAUUCUGGUGCCUUGCAUUUGAUUUAACCUCAGGAUAAAAAGAGUCUUGGGAUAUAUGGCUUCUUUACUUUACGGAUUGCUCUUCCUGCCCAAUAAAUGUAUUUUGCAGCCUUCAAGCAGAUAAGGAUCAUGGAGGCUCUCCAAAUGAUAUAUGCUUCUGUUCAUAAUCUGCUUGUGGGUUACUGUUUCUGUUGACACGGAUAAUUAGUCCAUCUCUGUAGUCACAGAUGACAACUUUUUUCCCUUCAAUGCAGCCACAUUUUUGUGAUGCUUUA